rnacentral:lncRNA from 1 species
GGAGAUGAGUGCCCAUCAGGGCACCGCGACGGUUGUCACAGGCUAGAGGGGAGUUUCGAGUCGUGACAAUUAGAUUGGUAUUAGAGCUUUUGGUUUUAAAGAUUUGAGCUUUUAGGUUUAAAGUUGGUUUAAAGUUGUUUUAAAAGUUGUUUUAAAGUUGUUUUAAAAUUUAUAGUGUCAGUGUGGCCCCAAGUUAAGUUAGGUUAGAUUGAAUUGAACGCGUACAUCUACAUAUAGAAACCUACCUACUCUUGCGAUGCA